ACGAACGCUGGCGGCGUGCUUAACACAUGCAAGUCGAACGGAAAGGCCCCUUCGGGGGUACUCGAGUGGCGAACGGGUGAGUAACACGUGAGUAACCUGCCCUUGACUUCGGGAUAACUUCAGGAAACUGGGGCUAAUACCGGAUAGGAAUCCUUGCUGCAUGGUGGGGGUUGGAAAGCUUCGGCGGUUUUGGAUGGACUCGCGGCUUAUCAGCUUGUUGGUGGGGUAGUGGCUUACCAAGGCUUUGACGGGUAGCCGGCCUGAGAGGGCGACCGGCCACAUUGGGACUGAGAUACGGCCCAGACUCCUACGGGAGGCAGCAGUGGGGAAUAUUGCACAAUGGGCGGAAGCCUGAUGCAGCAACGCCGCGUGCGGGAUGACGGCCUUCGGGUUGUAAACCGCUUUCAGCAGGGGCGAAGCUUGUGGUGACGGUACCUGCAGAAGAAGCACCGGCUAACUACGU
rnacentral:rRNA from 1 species